ensembl:lncRNA
CAGGAAGGGCAUCUUGAUUCUUUGAAGUUGACAUACACUGUAGAAACUGUGUUGAUGCUCAGGUUCACUCAACAUCAUCUAUUAGUCCAUGGGAUAGUUUGCUAGUUUAGCUAAGAUCUUGGUGAUCAAAGGGCUGUGGAGGAAGCAUGGACAGUGUCUUUAAGGUUCUGGAUAUAGCUGAAGUACCACGUAUUUCCCAACUGGCUCAGUGUAGCCACCCUGAGUUUGAGGCACUGUGAAAACACAGUUUUUAAGGCCUCAUUUAACCCAAUUUAUCAACUUCAGCCAUGUGAUGGUACCUCAGGGGCAGUCAGGAUGCCAGCACACAACCUCAAUUUGCCUUCAACCCCUUCAGCCCACAGGCACACACCAGGCACUAGAUCCUUCUUCCUGGCCCUACAAAAUCCUCCAGAACAUCUCUCCACCUGCUUAUGGGAUCUGAGAGCCACGUGCAAGAUUCCAGUGAAGGUUCAAUCUACCCCAGGGCACAGUGUCCACAGGAUGCAAACAUGGGUUAAGCCGUCUCCUGUUUGUCUGCCCUUUGGAACCUUUGACCCAAUUUGAAGAUCAGGGGGAAAAUAGUAUUGAAUCAAAAGAACAAAAUAAAAUUUUCCCAUGUGGUCUCAUUAUGAAAAAAAUCAAAAAAAAUUCUAGUUAUUCUUUGACCAAAUUUGAUCACCCUGAAAAGUUCAUUAAUUUUAAUACACACACAAAAAAGGUUGAGAUUAUAUAAAAUCUGCUUUCCCCAGUUUUUUUUAUCCAAAUGUGACCUUCAGUUUACUUGGUCAUGAUGAAUCUUUGGCUUUUAACUUCUCUCAGAUAAAUUAAUUUUGAGCCCCAGACAAACAAAGUGAGCGGAAAUUGAAUAUUUCCAUUUAUCUGUAAUGUGUCACACUGAAUAAUGUUUGGAGAAGAAAAGGCUUGGGAAGACCUGAUAGCAGCCUUUCAGGAUCUGAAUGGGGACAAUAAGAAGGGGACACUCUUUAGCAGGGUCUUUUGUGACAGGACAAGGGGAAAUGUUUUCAAACUACAGGAGUUUAGAUUGGACAUAAGGUGGUGGAUGCCCCAUCCCUGGAGACAUUCAAGGUGGGGCUGGAGGAGGCUUUGAGCAAUGUAACCUAGAUGUAGAUGUCCCUGUGCAUUGCAGGGGAGCUGGACUAAAUGACCUUUAAGGGUCCCUUUCGACUCAAUUCUAUGAUUCUAUGAAACUUGUUUCAUAGUACAGUUUUACAGGGGAGAGAAGAGCAAACUCUGGAGUUAGGCACAGGCAGAAGGAUCACUAUCCC